rnacentral:rRNA from 1 species
UACGUAGGGGGCAAGCGUUGUCCGGAUUUAUUGGGCGUAAAGAGCGUGUAGGCGGCUUUACAGGUCCGUUGUGAAAACUCGAGGCUCAACCUCGAGACGCCGGUGGAAACCGUAAAGCUAGAGUCCGGAAGAGGAGAGUGGAAUUCCUGGUGUAGCGGUGAAAUGCGUAGAUAUCUGGAGGAACACCGGUGGCGAAGGCGGCGUUCUGGACUGCAACUGACACUGAGAGACGAAAGCCAGGGGAGCAAACGGG